AGCGAACGCUGGCGGCAGGCCUAACACAUGCAAGUCGAACGAACUCUUCGGAGUUAGUGGCGGACGGGUGAGUAACACGUGGGAACGUGCCUUUUGGUUCGGAAUAACUCAGGGAAACUUGUGCUAAUACCGAAUGUGCCCUUCGGGGGAAAGAUGUAUCGCCAUUAGAGCGGCCCGCGUCUGAUUAGCUAGUUGGUGAGGUAACGGCUCACCAAGGCGACGAUCAGUAGCUGGUCUGAGAGGAUGACCAGCCACACUGGGACUGAGACACGGCCCAGACUCCUACGGGAGGCAGCAGUGGGGAAUCUUGCGCAAUGGGCGAAAGCCUGACGCAGCCAUGCCGCGUGAAUGAUGAAGGUCUUAGGAUUGUAAAAUUCUUUCACCGGGGACGAUAAUGACGGUACCCGGAGAAGAAGCCCCGGCUAACUUCGUG
rnacentral:rRNA from 1 species